UGUAUGUUGGUGUAAAUGGCUAGCACACUUGUCACAAAACCAAAGAGAUGUGGGUUCGAGUCCCACAUCUAUGG
rnacentral:tRNA from 1 species